rnacentral:rRNA from 1 species
CGGACGGGUGAGUAAUGUCUGGGAAACUGCCUGAUGGAGGGGGAUAACUACUGGAAACGGUAGCUAUACCGCAUAACGUCGCAAGACCAAAGAGGGGGACCUUAGGGCCUCUUGCCAUCGGAUGUGCCCAGAUGGGAUUAGCUUGUUGGUGGGGUAACGGCUCACCAAGGCGACGAUCCCUAGCUGGUCUGAGAGGAUGACCAGCCACACUGGAACUGAGACACGGUCCAG